GGAGUUUAUAGCCGCGGGUAAAUGACCUCCAUUCUGGGAACGUCGAGAUCGUGCUUGGGACUUCCGUUUUCUCGGAGCACCGGAGACGUAGUGCCAGAUAAUCCGCAUUCAGGGGAGAAGAAUGCACACGACACUUGCGGACCAUCCAUGGACAAACAACCUAUGUGUGUUAUCAUCCCCGAAGGGCGGCGAUCAGACUCUAUGUUGGGGACCCUCUCGAUUGAUCUUCAUAUUCUACACACCCAUGUGGUAGAUAAAUAAAAAAAAGGUGAACAUGGAUACACGACCAAGGUGAUAGAAGGUUAUGGUUUUGUCCAGGAGUCUCCGGCAGAUAGAAUUGAUUUGGCCUUUAAUGAGGCAAUCC
rnacentral:lncRNA from 1 species